CAAGUGAUUGUUUAUUCUGAGUUUACAGCUGCAGCUCCAAAGCCAUCCUUCAAAAUACUUGAUGCCACCGAUGAUGGAGUGCAGCUGCAGUGUGAAGUCCGAGACGCUUCUUCAAACCUUAAACUCGAGUGGAGGGACAGAGCCGGAAACGUCGUCCCUGCUGAAGAACCACAAACCUCAGAGAGAGGAGGCAGCUACGACAUCGUCCUCCAAACUACCGUGACCAAAACCGACAUCUACCGCUGCGUCGCCACACAGCAGGCGAUCAACCAUCAGACGAUCAACCAUCAGACGAUCCACCAUCAGACUCAUGCUGAGAUUUAUGUUUAUAUCACCGGCAGCAGCACGAGGGAACGGAUCAAAGCAUUUAUCUUUGGAGUUGCUUUUGUAGUUUUAUUCGUAGUUGUAGUUGUGAAUUUUGCUCUAACGGACACCGGAAGACGUUAUACACGCAGCAGCGCAAGGAUCAUUGGAUUUGUUUUUGUCAUCUUUUUCGCUGUACUUUUAGCUGUGGCUUUAGCCCAAAAGAGCACCGGAAGAAGUUAUACACGUUCAUUUUCAGAGACAAAGGAACACGACCCCUGAAUAACCGGCGACAGCCCGCGAAGGAAAAAGAGAAAACUGAACAGUUUUGCUGAGGUCGUAUUACAUUUAUUGCAUGUGUAUAUGUGAAACAAGAGGGCAGAGUGGUUUGUAAUUUGUAAUUUAUGAUUUAAAAAAGGGAUGAUGGACAUUACUCCACAUUUAGGUAUGAGUAAGUAGAAAGUCAUCUUAAAAAUAACAGAAUAUACAAUGGCUAAGAUAAACAACAUUAAGAUAAAAAAGGCAAAAAAUGUAAUCAAACAUUAAAUAACACAUUUCAACAACAGAAGUGCGUAAAAUCUCAACAGCAGAUGAAGCAGACACAGUAUGAGCACAGUUUUUUUUUAAUUAGGUGGUUUGUUAAAGUCCAGACGCACUUUAGCACUUUAGAUCGUUUAAAUCUGAGAUAACGUCUCACGUUUUCAGACAUUCACGCUGUUGCACUCAGAAGUUAACGUGGAAACUGACCAAAAUAUCAGAGAGCAGAGAGACAAAAGAGCAGAGAGAGAAACCAUCUGACCUACGCGCAGCUGGCCAAUCACAGCAUGAGGUG